UCUGCCACUAGAAGUGUUGCAGGUGUGGCUGUUGUGUCUCUUGUGCAUCAUUAGGUAGAAGAGAGGAGAGAGGCUAUGCCUAAGUUCAGUGUUCUGAUCUAAGGACACCUAAAGGAUUAGUAGACUAGCAUU